rnacentral:rRNA from 1 species
AGCCUGAGCAGCGACGCCGCGUGGGGGAGGAAGGCCUUCGGGUUGUAAACCCCUGUCAGGGGGGACGAACACCUUGGUGACUAAUACACAGCGGGAGUGACGGUACCUCCCAAGGAAGCUCCGGCUAACUCCGUGCCAGCAGCCGCGGUAAUACGGGGGGAGCGAGCGUUGUUCGGAAUUACUGGGCGUAAAGGGCGCGUAGGCGGCCUCUCAAGUCGGGUGUGAAAUCCCAGGGCUCAACCCUGUGAACUGCGCCAGAUACUGCAUGUUUCGAGUAAGGGAGAGGAAAGCGGAAUUCCCGGGGUAACGGUGGAAUGCGUAAAUAUCGGGAAGAACAUCUGCGGCGAAGGCGGCUCGCUGGGCCGUAUCUGACGCUGAAGCACAAAACCGUGGGGACCAAACCGGAUUAAAUACCCUGGUAGUCCACGCCGUAAACGCUGGCCACUAGGUGUCGGGAGGCUUGAUCCUCCCGGCGCCGCAGCUAACGCAUUAAGUGCCCCGCCUGGGAA